rnacentral:rRNA from 1 species
UACGGAGGGUGCGAGCGUUGUCCGGAAUCAUUGGGCGUAAAGGGCGCGUAGGUGGCCCGGUCAGCGUGCGGUGAAAGCUCGGGGCUCAACCCCGAGUCGGCCGUGCGAACUGCUGGGCUUGAGCACUGUAGAGGCAGGCGGAAUUCCGGGGGUAGCGGUGGAAUGCGUAGAGAUCCGGAAGAACACCGGUGGCGAAGGCGGCCUGCUGGGCAGUGGCUGACACUGAGGCGCGACAGCGUGGGGAGCAAACAGG